rnacentral:misc_RNA from 1 species
AUUAGAAAUUGGACAUGAACUGCUAAACAUGUAAUAGCACUGUAGCCUUGAAAAUAAAAAUAAAAAUAAAAACCCAAGUUGGAUUUGUUGGGAAAGAUCAAUAACCAACUGACCUGCUUAUGUAUAAUACACGCUGAACUUGACUGGCAACAAGUUAACAGCCAUUUUGUGACAAGAAGACUAAGUCAGUUGGAUAAUUUGCUCUUCAAUUUUUAACAUGCAACUACUAUGUAUCUUACAUAUAUUAGUAACACUAAAUUCUAGCAAAACAAACAUCCUUACCCAUACACACUCCUGGUAUAAGGAUCCUCCAACAAUAACUGACUAAAAUGGACUUGUAAGUGCUGCUCUCUCACCAGCUAAAUGGGCUUCUUUUGUCCUUCCAUGAAUGUCAACCAAAAUAUAAAGAGAUAUUUGAAGCCAAAGAAGCCACCACUGAUUUUUGAUGCGUUAUUUUUCUUUACGCUUGAAGAACCUGGCAGUGCACGAUAUGACUUUUCAGUCGGUUCCUGCCUGCUAGGCUUGACAAGAGAUUUGUGACCAAGGUCUUGAACUGUCCUUUCCCUGAUAUAGUUUCCCAUAAAUGCUCAGCAGUGGCUCCCCUCAAAUCCUCAGAUUUUGACACAUCAACCAAAGAUAUGCUCAUAUUAUUCCUGAUGAUGCAGAGUUUUCCAUUAAAUGGAACAAGUGCAGCUGCCUCUAAUGCCUGGGAAUUCCCCAAAUGCAUCCUACUGUCAAUAUGCUUACUCCAUGAAUCAGUCACACCAUCAUAAACCCUAAGUUUGCAGCCAUCCUUACAGUCCAAGGCAUAGAGGCGUCUGUUUAAGGAAGCACUCGGGUUUCUCCAGCCUGCAACCAUGCCAUCAUAAACAGGGUACCAGCUAUCAGUUUCUGGUUGGUAGACUUCGCUUAGAACCUGUCGGUGAGAUCCCAGCCCCUUCAGGAACCACUUGCCCUCGUAAACAACCCCAAUAAAGGGCACCAUUGCUGUGCUCAUAUCUGAAAUGAAGGACCAUCUAUUCUUGUUAGGAUCAUAAACUUCUGCUGAUCUCAGGGAUCGAUGGCCCCCCUCAUUUUCCCCACCAGCCACAUACAAACAGUUGUUUAUCACACAUGAACCAAAAAAAUGCCGUCGACGAAGCAUGUCUGGGGCACGGUGCCACUUAUUUGUCCUAGCACUAUAAAAUAUGACUCUUCUCAUUGAUCCUUUUAGAGGGUCUUUACCACCAAACAAGUAGAGGUGACAGCCACUGAGGACUGCACAGCCAAAUCCAAGGGCUUCAGAGUAUUCCUUUGGGACAGGGGGAAGGGGCUGCCAGAGUUGGUAAACUGGAUCAAAUGCAUGCCAUGAGAUUUUGCCAUCUCGGUCUCUCUUGAUGACAUAUAUCCAUUCUUCAGCAAUUCCAAGGCUUUUCCGAAGUGAGUAGAAGAAGUUUCCAGCCAAAAGACGAUACCAUCUUUUGCACACUAGCCGUAACUUACAGUGCUCUACUCUUG